rnacentral:rRNA from 1 species
AAGUGCCUACGUUUUACGUAGGCUGUUCAGAUGCCUAAAAAGCAUCUGGAGUAAGGGCUGGGUAAGACGGGUGCCAUCUGCAGCAGUAAUGGAAAGAUUAUUACUGCAAGGCAUAAGCCGCCGCGGUAAUACCCGCAGCCCGAGUGGUGGUCGAUUUUAUUGGGCCUAAAGCGUCCGUAUCCGGUCUGGUAAAUGCCUGGGUAAAUCGUCUGGCUUAACCAGACGAAUUCCGGGUAGACUACCAGACUUGGGACCGGUUGAGGAAGAGGGUACUUUAGGGGUAGGAGUGAAAUCCUGUAAUCCUUGAAGGACCACCAGUGGCGAAGGCGCUCUUCCAGGACGGAUCCGACGGUGAGGGACGAAAGCCAGGGGAGCAAACCGGAUUAAAUACCCGGGUAGUCCUGGCCGUAAACGAUGUGGGCUUUGCAUUGGGGGUUCUACGUGAGCGCCCAGUGCCGGAGCGAAGGCGUUAAGCCCACCGCCUGGGAAGUAUGGUCGCAAGGCUGAAACUUAAAGGAAUUGGCGGGGGAGCAC